rnacentral:rRNA from 1 species
UGAAUCUAGUGGCGAACGGGUGAGUAACGCGUAGGCAACCUGCCCUCUGGUUGGGGGACAACAUUCCGAAAGGGAUGCUAAUACCGAAUGUGAUCCUCUUUCCGCAUGGAGAGAGGAUGAAAGAUGGCCUCUACUUGUAAGCUAUCGCCAGAAGAUGGGCCUGCGUCUGAUUAGUUAGUAGGUGGGGUAACGGCUCACCUAGGCGAUGAUCAGUAGCCGGUCUGAGAGGUUGACCGGCCACAUUGGGACUGAGAUACGGCCCAAACUCC